rnacentral:lncRNA from 1 species
UUUCGAACAGGGUUGAGGAAGAAGAGAGGAUAUCACUUUCCCCCCUAUCAAGUUUAUCUUCAUUUAUGGGUUGCAGGUCCCUGUGUCCCUCCCCCUCCUCGAUCCCCCUGUGUGCGAGUCCCUCAUCUCAGCUUUGGUUGCUGUGCAGAUGGCUCUUUGUUGGUGCUUCACAAUGGGUCUAAGGCAAAGUGCAAAGUACAUCUGAUGGGCACUACAAGGUUCAGCAGCAGUGGGCCGUGAUGUCUUAAGGCCAGUUUGCAGCAGGAAGGAGCAGGUAGACUGAAAGGCGGGAAACUAGGAGGAGGAGGAGCAUUUCUUGCAAAGCAGAAGGAAUUACUGGAAAUUUCCACUUCUCUGGCAAGAGAGUUGCAGGGGUGGAGCUAUAAGAGGUAAAAUAAAAAAAGGUAGCACAGUUGAACUUAGGCAGUGCAGAGGGAAAACGUUCUGGUGUGUUUACGUGGGC